UGGUAAUUCUAGAGCUAAUACAUGCUAAAAACCCCGACUUCGGAAGGGGUGUAUUUAUUAGAUAAAAAACCAAUGCCCUUCGGGGCUCCUUGGUGAAUCAUAAUAACUUAACGAAUCGCAUGGCCUUGCGCCGGCGAUGGUUCAUUCAAAUUUCUGCCCUAUCAACUUUCGAUGGUAGGAUAGUGGCCUACCAUGGUAGCAACGGGUAACGGGGAAUUAGGGUUCUAUUCCGGAGAGGGAGCCUGAGAAACGGCUACCACAUCCAAGGAAGGCAGCAGGCGCGCAAAUUACCCAAUCCCGACACGGGGAGGUAGUGACAAUAAAUACUGAUACAGGGCUCUUUUGGGUCUUGUAAUUGGAAUGAGUACAAUUUAAAUCCCUUAACGAGGAACAAUUGGAGGGCAAGUCUGGUGCCAGCAGCCGCGGUAAUUCCAGCUCCAAUAGCGUAUAUUAAAGUUGUUGCAGUUAAAAAGCUCGUAGUUGAACCUUGGGCCUGGCUGGCCGGUCCGCCUCACCGCGUGUACUGGUCCGGCCGGGCCUUUCCUUCUGGGGAGCCGCAUGCCCUUCACUGGGCGUGUCGGGGAACCAGGACUUUUACUGUGAAAAAAUUAGAGUGUUCAAAGCAGGCCUUUGCUCGAAUACAUUAGCAUGGAAUAAUAGAAUAGGACGUGCGGUUCUAUUUUGUUGGUUUCUAGGGCCGCCGUAAUGAUUAAUAGGGAUAGUCGGGGGCAUUAGUAUUCAAUUGUCAGAGGUGAAAUUCUUGGAUUUAUUGAAGACUAACUACUGCGAAAGCAUUUGCCAAGGAUGUUUUCAUUAAUCAGUGAACGAAAGUUAGGGGAUCGAAGACGAUCAGAUACCGUCGUAGUCUUAACCAUAAACUAUGCCGACUAGGGAUCGGUGGGUGUUACUGUUAUGACCCCAUCGGCACNUNA
rnacentral:rRNA from 1 species